rnacentral:lncRNA from 1 species
GGGAGUAGCUUCCAACUUCAUUAGUGACUUAUCUUUUCGUCACAGCACGAGAGCGCGGAAGGGGAUAAUCGGAACUAGUAUGUGCUAUCCGCCGCUGCACCAUCUUCACCUCUGCGGAUCGCAACCACCAUCUGGUGCUAAACUUUCGUGUAUGUUGUUCGCUGUAACUUUUCGAAUCCCCUUGCGUCGCCGUCGGCCGUCGCAUUCUGCAUGCCUCUAAUGCGUCGUGAUGCUGCUAUGCCGCACUACAACCGUCUUCCGCAAACCGUCGAACUUCCCGUUGGCCGACGCGGCCUAGUGUCGCGAAGCCAUCCAGCACAACACGCUAUGCUUGACCGCCGUCCACACCUAUCUAAAAUCAGACCUUAGGAUCGAUGCUCGCUUGGUAAUUACCACCUCUAGGAUGAUGCCACGACAUAAAUCUUACUCCCUCUGUUUUUAUCUAUAAGCAUUUGUACGUCAUUUAGGAGAAUUAAGGUUCACGAAAAAAUUAUAGAUUUAUAGCGUGUCAUUAAGUGUGAGUUGAUCGAAAAUGGGAGAAUUAAUGCUUGGUGUAAGAUAAGGAACAAUUUGAAUACUCAUAUAGUAUUUGGGACAAGAGGGAGAGAGAGUAGACCGGAAGGGAUAGAGAUUCGAAUGGAACACGGACUCCCAAUGGAACACGCAGUAACCUAUCUCAAAAGAGGCAAAAUAAUCUCAUUACAGCCGUACGUGUACAGGUGAGUUGUACGAGUCGCCAGUACCAGCUUGCGAACUGAUGGAUUAAUUCAUGGGAAACAAAAGGGCCGCGGGGCGAUGCAUGCACGACGUACAAAACGCAUCGCUAGCAUGGUACAAACUCCACUUGUUGCUAUGGCGCUAUGGCUUGCAUGCAGUAAUAUUCUGUUGCCACUUGGAGAAUAGAUUCGAGCACACACGGCCUUAUCCGGUAUGUCGUUGAAACUCGAAAGCAACGUAACCUGGCCCGUGAUUACUGGCUCUCGUGUCGUCCAGGUCAAAUGACGGUGGUCGAUCGGUCGUCCAUAGUCUAUGCAGCUAUGCUGACUACCUACUUAUAAUUAGCUGGUACGUAUCUACUCCCUCCGUCCCAUAAUAUAAGAGAUUUUGAUUUUUUGCUUAUACUGUUUGACCACUCGUCUUAUUAAAAAAAUUUGUGCAAAUAUAAAAAAUAAAAAGUUGUGCUUAAAAUACUUUGGAUAAUAAAGUAAGUCAUAAAAAAAUAAGUAAUAAUUUCAAUUUUUUUUAAUAAGACGAGUGGUCAAAUGAUGCAAGUAAAAACUCAAAAUUUCUUAUAUUAUAGGACAUAGGGAGUACUCCAAUUAACUAGUCUUCCCUGUCUCUCAUGAUACAAGCUACAGAGAGAUCUAUGGGCUUGUUUGAUUGAGGCCAAUCUAUGCCUAACCAAAUCUUUGAUAACUUCAUUACUAAUAUAUUUUAUGGAUGUUUGAUUUGAUAUCAAAUUUAUAAAUUGUACUCUAAUAAAUUUGAUAGUAUCAAUACUUCUCUAGCUUUUUUAACACUACCGACAUUUUGAUAUGAUAUAAAUUGGGCUUCAAACCAAAUAAGCCUUAUUAGCAACUACAGUAGUAUGCUAGCUAAUGGCACAAGUCCCGACCUACCCGAUCAAUCGAAGUCAGGCUCUCAUUCAUCAGUUCCGUUUUUUCUGGUCCGUUCGUUCAGGCAAAGUUUGUCCUAGGAAAAGAUCAAGAACACGAGUGAGAGAGGGAGGCACGGGCCCCUACCUGCCGCCAGUGGUGAUUCCCAUCGAUCCCAAAUCACAUCGAGAGAUGCUCGGAUGGCCCGGAUUCGCCGGAUCCGUGAAUCCAUACACGGAAGAUUACUUGAAUUCAUCGACGACAGAGUGACCUCAUUCAUUUUUGCGAACGCAGAGUGACCUCAUUCAGAAGACGAGAUCCAAUAACAUAAAGAUUACCAACCGAUCGACGUGCACAUUUCGAAAGUAUAGGUAAAAGCCAUAUAUAAUACAGUUACUCCCUCCGUCCCAUAAUAUAAGAGAUUUUAAGUUUUUCUUACGAGGUUUGACCACUCGUCUUAUUCAAAAAAUUUUAAAAUUAUUAUUUAUUUUAUUUGAGACUUGCUUUAUUAUCUACAGUACUUUAAUCACAACUUUUUGUUUUUUAUAUUUGCAAAAAAAAAUUAAAUAAAACGAGUGGUCAAACGUUAUAAGCAAAAAUUCAAAAUCCCUUAUAUUGUGGGACGGAGGGAGUACUACACAUUCUUGUUUAAGUUGUUUAUACUCCCUCCGUCCCAAAAUAAGUACAGUUUUGCACUAUUCACGUUCAACGUUUGACCGUUCGUCUUAUUUGAAUUUUUUUUAUGAUUAGUAUUUUUAUUGCUAUUAGAUGAUAAAAUAUAAAUAGUACCUAUAUGUGUGACUAAAUAUUUUUAAAUUUUUUAUAAAUUUUUUAAAUAAGACGAACGGUCAAACGUUGGGCACAGAUA